GUCGAUUAGCAUGCGAGUCGUGAGACGAAAGGUCUCGGCAUACUGCUCAGUAACACGUGGAUAAUCUACCCAAAGUCUGGGAUAACCCCGGGAAACUGGGUAUAAUACCGGAUAAACCAAUACUUCUGGAAUGGGUGUUGGUUGAAAGGCAACGCUUUUGGAUGGGUCUGCGGCGGAUUAGGUUGACGCCGGUGUAACGUACCGGCGUGCCUGUCAUCCGUACGGGUUGUGGGAGCAAGAGCCCGGAGAUGGAUUCUGAGACACGAAUCCAGGCCCUACGGGGCGCAGCAGGCGGGGAAAAACUCUACAAUGCAGGCAACUGCGAUAGGGGGACAUCGAGUGGCAUCCACCUUGGGUGCCUGUCCAACCGUCUAAAAAACGGGUGGUUAGC
rnacentral:rRNA from 1 species